GGAGCCCCCCGUGACCCCAUUUAGUAUCUGUUGGGGGCUCCACCUGAUACUAAUGUGCCUGAGAGCCUUUAGUACCAGGUGGAGCCACCACCCAAUACUAAUGGGUGACCUUUAGUACUACUUAGAGCCCCCAACCGGUACUAACUUCCCUCCUAUAAAUAUGGUGUCUUCUUCCUAUUGCCCGAGCUAUUUCCUCUAGCUCGGGCUUCAUCCAUUCAUGGCGAAAUAGGGGAGGUGCUGCUAGAUUUUUUACCAUUUCAUGGGGAUUUCACUCAUUCAAGUGUUCUAAAGGUUAGAAACUUCAUCCUCCCUUGAUACAUGGUUAGUAUACUAUGUUUAAUGCUUUAGAGGUAGAGUAAUUUGAGAUUUUUAGAAUAAGGUACAAUAGAGAAAAAUUUCAUUUAUAUUCAUGUGUUAUUGAGAGCUCAUAUUUGUGAUUUUUAGAUAAGCUACAAUUUUUUGGAUGGUAUGUUUCGUAUUAGUCAAAGAAAUUGAUAUGAGUUUAGAGGAAUAAUUUUAUAGUUUAGUCCUUUACAAAUAUGAGCUAAAUAAAUUAUGGAAAAAAUAUAAUUUGUUCAUAUUUUAGUCAUUUGCAAAUAUGAGCGAGAUAAAUUGUGGUACAUAGAGAUAAUUAGAUGAAAUAGAGGUAUGUAAUUACAUUUUUAGAAUAUGCUACAAUAGAGAAAAUUUUCAUUUAUAUGUUAUGUUUGAGCUAAAUAAAUUUAUAUGUUAUAGUUUAGUAAUUUGCAAAUAUGAGCUAAAUAAAUUGUGGUACAUAGAGAUGGCUACUACUGCUGGAGGUAGUGCCGAUGGGGGGGCGAUCGUCAUUUCCUUUUGCAGCAAGGAGAAAACCAUAGUUGGCCCUCGUAAUAAGCAGAAGAAAAUGAGGAUGUGGGAGAGAGCAAUGCUUCAUUAUUUGGAAAGAUGUCAUGAAGAUGUUGUUGCGGCGGGUCAAGAACCUCCUAUUGGUAGCCGUUAUGCUCCACCGCUAGUCCCG
rnacentral:lncRNA from 1 species